rnacentral:ncRNA from 1 species
AACGGGGAGCUUGCAUGAGGGCAGGCUGAGAGGGAGCGGUUAGGCUUCGACCCAUGGAACCUGAAAUGGAUAAUGCCAGCGAAGGGAGAAUA